GUAAAUCAUUUUGUUUGCUGCUCCGUGCUGCUGCUUUGGUGCAGAUGGACUUUUGUCUAUAGAGACCGGUAUUUGCCAAGCAAUACUUUGGCCAGCGCAUGCUUUUUCUUCUGAGCCGUCGAUCAAAAAAGAAAACGAAAAAAAAAGGUCAUGUAAGAAGUGGGCAGCGCUCACAGAGAAGUUUGAUUUGAGUGGAGUCUAAGCUUUCUCUUUGCGCAAACAAUCUUAUUGCUAGUGCCAAGCCUGUCAGUCAUGCACUACUUUCGUGGUUUUUUUAAGGGUAAAAAGAAAGAAUCAUGCAGGAGAGUUUCGUCACGUCAGGUCGCUCAUCAUUACCACGAUGCCUCCGUAUCAGAUGAUAAGGCGAAGGAGGAGCACACGCACCAGAAUGCGGAACUUCAUCCAGCGCAGACUUCUUCCCAUCACAGGGAGGCAUCUUCGUUGUCAGAACCCGACGAGGGUCUUCGACAACAGACCACUAGUGAUUCCGAGCACGUGUCAGAAGCGCAUGCUUGCCAGGCUCCCGCUCAAGAGCAACGGCCACCUCUGCAUGAGUGUUUACAACCCGCGUAUCGGUACACUUGCGGAGAAUUUUCGGAGACUAUUUCACGCGAAGAGGCGAUGCUGGCGCAACAGUACAACUUCUCCAGCCCUUCUGAUCGAACUCGCGCUGAAGCCACGGCUAGUGCCACUCGCCGCAGCGUGGGAGAUUCUAAGAACGGCGAGUUCGACUCUAUUUUCAUGCAGUUUAUGCAUGGUGCAGUCGAUCAAUAGGCGGUUUUACUCUCGCGUGCGUUUCUCUACUUAAAGAGUCGAUGGAAUCGGGUAUGAUGAGAGUUUUUCCUUUUUUUUGCUUCACCUGCUAGACAGAAGCUCUCCAGUACAUUUUUUGUCCUUGUUGCUGUCAUGAAGUUUCGAGAAGCCCAUCAGCUACCCUGUAGAAAAAAAAAGCAGAAUUAAGCAAGCGCACUUUGUCAAACGCUGCUCUGCUAAGCGGAGGCACAUGGAGUCACUCCACUAGUUUCCCAUGUGCAGAUGCAUUACGUGGGUGACGGCUCUCUUGUCUCCUGCUUUUUGUGUGGUUUGGAGACAAGUUUUGCAAGGUUUAUCUGCUCUGGCCAACCUUAGUAUCGAUCUGCCUGAAAAGAAGCAGAGUGAUGCGCUAUUGGCGCUUGCGUGAGAGCGAUAUUUGCUUGCACGCGUUUCUUUGCCUCUCCCUUUUUUUGAAUAUCUUUGUAG
rnacentral:misc_RNA from 1 species